rnacentral:rRNA from 1 species
CAGGGGCAUCGCCGGGUAGCUACCUUCGGUUAGGAUAAACGCUGAAAGCAUCUAAGCGUGAAGCCGUCUUCAAGAUUAGGUUUCAUAGGCUGGCGAGAGACUAUCGCCUUGAUAGGCCCUAGGUGUAAGCGCAGUAAUGCGUUGAGCCGAGGGGUACUAAUAAGCCAUCUGAUUUU